AACUUCUAGAAGCUGCAUUGAUUCUUCUAUGCAGUUUAAUAAGAUUCUAAUGAAUACAAAAGAAUGAUUUGUCCAUAUAUAAUCCUUAUUGAGGAUAUUAGGACAAAAUAUAAUAGGAGCAUAGAUUAAAUCAUAAGGCUACAUAUUCAGGUGAAGAACACAGUGUAGCACUGAUAAAACUCAUCUAUUUAUUGCAGAAGUAGAAAAAUUACCUUUCUAACAAUAUGAAUUUCCUGUUAUUCCAAGAUAAAUUUAUAUCUGGCUGUUCAUUCUGUAUGAAAUUAUAUUUUUGGUAUAAUAAUACAAAGAAAUUAAAUUACUAACUUUAGCCUCUUUUAUACAUUUGUUUCUACAGAGACUCAGCCUGAGGCAACACACUGCUCAGUGCUUCAUAUGCUAUACUUUUAUGAUGAUGGAGCACAUAAGUCUGCUAAAACAAAAUGGAACUGAGGCUAUUAGAAAUCUGGGAGGCAUAUGAAACAUAGGGAAAUACAGUUCUAUUUAUUCACAAUAAAUGCAGGAUAUGAACUUUGAAAAUAAAUGUCUUCAGGUAAAACAAGUUCUCAGUUCUCAAGUGGUUUCAUAAGAACAUAUUUUUUAGAGGACAGGACAAAGCUCCUUCCCUCCUGCUCUACAAAGAUACCCACUGUUCCUCACGUCAGGUUGACGCUUAUUACAUUGAGAAGCAUUCCACUGUGUAAGAGGUAUGUCCUAAUCAUAAGUAAUUGAAUUAAACAAAAGGGGUAACUUUGUUUCUCCUCCCCUCCCCUGCCCUCCAUAGCUGCCAGGGCAGUGAUUCAAG
rnacentral:lncRNA from 1 species